CAGUCGCCACGGUAAUACAGAGGGUGCGAGCGUUAAUCGGAUUUACUGGGCGUAAAGCGUGCGUAGGCGGCUUCUUAAGUCGGAUGUGAAAUCCCUGAGCUUAACUUAGGAAUUGCAUUCGAUACUGGGAAGCUAGAGUAUGGGAGAGGAUGGUAGAAUUCCAGGUGUAGCGGUGAAAUGCGUAGAGAUCUGGAGGAAUACCGAUGGCGGAGGCAGCCAUCUGGCCUAAUACUGACGCUGAGGUACGAAAGCAUGGGGAGCAAACAGGAUUAGAUACCCGAGUAGUCCCUGUCUCUUAUAC
rnacentral:rRNA from 1 species